rnacentral:rRNA from 1 species
AGAGUUUGAUCCUGGCUCAGGACGAACGCUGGCGGCGUGCUUAACACAUGCAAGUCGAACGGAAAGGCCCUUUCGGGGGUACUCGAGUGGCGAACGGGUGAGUAACACGUGGGUGAUCUGCCCUGCACUUUGGGAUAAGCCUGGGAAACUGGGUCUAAUACCGGAUAGGACUACGCGAUGCAUGUCGUGUGGUGGAAAGCUUUUGCGGUGUGGGAUGGGCCCGCGGCCUAUCAGCUUGUUGGUGGGGUGAUGGCCUACCAAGGCGACGACGGGUAGCCGGCCUGAGAGGGUGACCGGCCACACUGGGACUGAGAUACGGCCCAGACUCCUACGGGAGGCAGCAGUGGGGAAUAUUGCACAAUGGGCGCAAGCCUGAUGCAGCGACGCCGCGUGAGGGAUGACGGCCUUCGGGUUGUAAACCUCUUUCAGCACAGACGAAGCGCAAGUGACGGUAUGUGCAGAAGAAGGACCGGCCAACUACGUGCCAGCAGCCGCGGUAAUACGUAGGGUCCGAGCGUUGUCCGGAAUUACUGGGCGUAAAGAGCUCGUAGGUGGUUUGUCGCGUUGUUCGUGAAAACUCACAGCUUAACUGUGGGCGUGCGGGCGAUACGGGCAGACUUGAGUACUGCAGGGGAGACUGGAAUUCCUGGUGUAGCGGUAGAAUGCGCAGAUAUCAGGAGGAACACCGGUGGCGAAGGCGGGUCUCUGGGCAGUAACUGACGCUGAGGAGCGAAAGCGUGGGGAGCGAACAGGAUUAGAUACCCUGGUAGUCC